rnacentral:rRNA from 1 species
CAGUCGCCACGGGAAUACGAAGGGGGCUAGCGUUGUUCGGAAUUACUGGGCGUAAAGCGCACGUAGGCGGAUAUUUAAGUCAGGGGUGAAAUCCCGCAGCUCAACUGCGGAACUGCUUUUGAUACUGGGUAUCUUGAGUAUGGAAGAGGUUAGUGGAAUUGCGAGUGUAGAGGUGAAAUUCGUAGAUAUUCGCAGGAACACCAGUGGCGAAGGCGGCUAACUGGUCCAUAACUGACGCUGAGGUGCGAAAGCGUGGGGAGCAAACAGGAUUAGAUACCCCUGUAGUCCCUGUCUCUUAUAC